UUUUAUCAAGACACGUUAGCUUUGGCUACUUUUCAGGCAGACAAACAGUUCUGUUGAUUUAAGCCUCGUUCCUUCACCUUAAUUUUUGACACUGAACAUAUUUGAUGUCCUUGUCCAUGCAUAGUGGAAAAAUCUUCCAUUUUGAUGUCACAUAAAAUGCUCCCCAUGGCUCCAUGUUUGGAGCAGAGAUGUCCAACGUUGGCACCUUUAAGACUUGUGGACUCCAACUUCCAGAAUUCCUCAUCCAGCCAUACCAGCUGGGGAAUUGUGGGAGUCGAAGUCCUCAAGUCUUAAAGUUGCUGAAAUUGGACACCUCUAGAGAACAGCAUGGCUGGACCUUCAGCAAAUAUUGCAUCCUCUCAGGUAAGCCAAUGCAAGUGGCAGGUGGUGGUGGGGACAGCGAACAGAAGCACUGCAUAAAAAGGUCCAGGGGACAUCAGGUCCUCAGAUGUGUACCUUCCUUCCAUCGGUGUACAUCAUCUCUGAACAUAGCCAUGAAUUCCUUGGUAACUCUCGUACUCCUGGGCCAGAUUAUA